UGGAUUUAAAAAUAGACUUCUGAGAGACCGUCCUUUCACGCAGAAAUUAGGGAAAACAAAAUUAAAAUAUGUCCAAGAAAUGUUAACCAUGGCCAAACCUUACAUGAUCUUGGAAGAAAAUCUAACCAUACAUUUUGAAAAUCAUGUUUCCAUCGAGUCACACUCCAAUCGCCCGACCGGGAAGGAGUCCUAGUAGUGUCGGGAUGACUCCUGUCUAGAAAUGUU
rnacentral:lncRNA from 1 species